UCCGUCUCUGCAGGGAUACGGUCUGGUUGCAGCACUGUGGGGAUGUUUGGUGUUUAAAGAGAUAAAGGGGUUAUCCAACUGCUUCGUCUUCUUGCUGGCGUCCUUUGUCGUCCUGACCGGCUCCUUGCUGACGGCCAUCUCAAAACUCUAAUGUUUGAACGUUUUCUGUACUCACCUUUUUUCAGAGUUCUUCGUUUCACGUUUGGAAAAAAGGAAAUGACCUUGGUUUUAUAAAAGUGUCAGACCGUGUGGUUGAAACAGACCACCAUGCAUGUCGGUUGAGAUGAAUGUAAGCGCUUUUUGUUUGCCGCCUUCUGGAAGCGGACGGGGUUAAUACUUUGAGCAGACAUUUGGUGGCAGUGUCUUACAGGAACUCUGGUUUGAUCUGAGAGGGCCGUUUGCUGUUGAACUCUGAAUUUGUUACUGAAAAAUGUUUCAACGUUUGUGUUGUUUGAAUGUUCUAGUAAUUUAUUUGUUUAAAGAAUAUAUUUUGUCACAUGCUAUGUUCAGCUGCUACUAACGGUGUCCAUGCAUCACUUUUAACACUUUCCACGCACGCUUAUUGUCACUGCAGAGGGGGCGGUUCGCUAGACACAUUUCUAUUUCACUAACGGGGGAGUUUGUUUUCAUGUUUCCAGAACAAAAAUCAAAUGAGUUGUCAGAGGAGUUUCUCUUGUGUUUUUUUCCCCACACAUGCUGCUAUUAAAAACAUCUGAUACUGACAGAUCUGCUCCUACACACAA